rnacentral:rRNA from 1 species
CCUACGGGGGGCAGCAGUGAGGAAUAUUGGUCAAUGGACGAGAGUCUGAACCAGCCAAGUAGCGUGAAGGAUGACUGCCCUAUGGGUUGUAAACUUCUUUUAUAUGGGAAUAAAAUGUUCCACGUGUGGGAUUUUGUAUGUACCAUAUGAAUAAGGAUCGGCUAACUCCGUGCCAGCAGCCGCGGUAAUACGGAGGAUCCGAGCGUUAUCCGGAUUUAUUGGGUUUAAAGGGAGCGUAGGUGGAUUGUUAAGUCAGUUGUGAAAGUUUGCGGCUCAACCGUAAAAUUGCAGUUGAAACUGGCAGUCUUGAGUACAGUAGAGGUGGGCGGAAUUCGUGGUGUAGCGGUGAAAUGCUUAGAUAUCACGAAGAACUCCGAUUGCGAAGGCAGUUCACUGGACUGCAACUGACACUGAGGCUCGAAAGUGUGGGUAUCAAACAGGAUUAGAGACCCUAGUAGUC